UACGAAGGGGGCUAGCGUUGCUCGGAAUUACUGGGCGUAAAGCGCACGUAGGCGGCUUUCUAAGUCGGGGGUGAAAUCCUGGAGCUCAACUCCAGAACUGCCUUCGAUACUGGAAAGCUCGAGUCCGGGAGAGGUGAGUGGAACUGCGAGUGUAGAGGUGAAAUUCGUAGAUAUUCGCAAGAACACCAGUGGCGAAGGCGGCUCACUGGCCCGGGUACUGACGCUGAGGUGCGAAAGCGUGGGGAGCAAACAGG
rnacentral:rRNA from 1 species